rnacentral:rRNA from 1 species
UACAGAGGUCCCAAGCGUUGUUCGGAUUCACUGGGCGUAAAGGGUGCGUAGGUGGUGAGGUAAGUCGGAUGUGAAAGCUCGGAGCUCAACUCCGAAAUGGCAUUGGAAACUACCUUGCUCGAGGGUUGGAGGGGGGACUGGAAUACUUGGUGUAGCAGUGAAAUGCGUAGAUAUCAAGUGGAACACCAGUGGCGAAGGCGAGUCCCUGGACAGCUUCUGACACUGAGGCACGAAAGCUAGGGGAGCAAACAGG